CCUACGGGAGGCAGCAGUGAGGAAUAUUGGUCAAUGGACGAGAGUCUGAACCAGCCAAGUAGCGUGAAGGAUGACUGCCCUAUGGGUUGUAAACUUCUUUUAUAUGGGAAUAAAACGUUCCACGUGUGGGAUUUUGUAUGUACCAUAUGAAUAAGGAUCGGCUAACUCCGUGCCAGCAGCCGCGGUAAUACGGAGGAUCCGAGCGUUAUCCGGAUUUAUUGGGUUUAAAGGGAGCGUAGGUGGAUUGUUAAGUCAGUUGUGAAAGUUUGCGGCUCAACCGUAAAAUUGCAGUUGAAACUGGCAGUCUUGGGUACAGUAGAGGUGGGCGGAAUUCGUGGUGUAGCGGUGAAAUGCUUAGAUAUCACGAAGAACUCCGAUUGCGAAGGCAGUUCACUGGACUGCAACUGACACUGAGGCUCGAAAGUGUGGGUAUCAAACAGGAUUAGAUACCCCUGUAGUC
rnacentral:rRNA from 1 species